CACUUUGAUGGUGGUACUUUCGGAGCCAGUUACUCCUCACAGCCCCUGGAUGAGAGUUGGCCAAGGCAGCAACAUCCUUGGAAAGAAGAAAAGCACCCUGGAUUCAGGCUGACAUCUGCUCUUAACAGGACCAAUUCUGAUUCCGCUCUUCACACGAGUGCUCUGAGCGCCAAGCCCCAGGACCCCUAUGGAGGAGGGGGCCAGUCGGCCUGGCCUGCCCCAUACAUGGGUAAGACACACAGGCCCCCUGCUCACAGCGUCUGUGCUUUCUCAUUCUGUUUGGAAUGACUCGAGCUCCAGGAUUUGGCCCUCAGUCACCUCUGUCGGCCCCGUGAACCACUCUUGAUGUGUCUUCCUUUCCCUGUUUCUUCCUCUCUGAUCUACCCCAGCCUACCUGACCAACACCCUUGGCUUUGUGGUCAUUUCUGUGGGGCCGUCCUUGACCUUCCUCCCUUUGCCAGUCCAGAGCUACCCGUGUCCUCGUCACAUGCCAGAGUUCCUCCGGGCUCAGGCCUACCUUGGCAGCUGUGCCACUCGACUGCCUUCUCUCCCCCUGCUCAGUGGGGAUUUCUUGAAAAGUCAGCAUCUUAAUGGCCUCACCGCCAGCACGGUGCCCGGCACAGAGGAACCCUCAGUGAUGGGGAAAUUACCCAGUGGCUUGCAGGCACAGAGCCCCUGCUAGAACACGUGCUAGGUGCUGACAUCUCACCUGCCAGGAACCGAACCUGGCUCGCUAAGACGCACUCCACGCCUGCCUUUCCUUCUGGGGUGAUAAUCUAGUAGGAACAAUGGUCUUGAAUUACCCGUUUCAUAGGCAGAUUGACUCUUGUCCACAAACACUUAGGGCUAGGUGUUUGGUCUUAAACCGGGAAUAAAUAAAUCUCGGUCAAGAUAAUCCAGCCUUUCUGGUUUUCUUUAUUUUUCAGACCAUUUGAACCUGAAAUAGUCUCUGUCCGGAGAACGUUCAGGGUCUUAUUCCUUGCACAUAGUAGGGGUGGGAUUUAGUAAUAACUGUUGCUGUAUCUGUUCCCUUGGUGUAAUUCAUAGAUGACCGCCUUUGCCUAAAAAUUCCCUUACGUUUCAAGUGUGAGAUCUACGCGAGAGUCGGUCUGGGCCAUCUAGCCAUGUUUCCCCCCAUGGGAAUGGGAGCGUCAAGCUGGCAGAAUGUGGGAAUGGGACAGGGAGCCUGCUGCUCACCGCUUAGAGGAGCGGGGUCUAUGGGGAGAGGCUCUAGUUUAGCUCCAGGAGAGGCAGAUACGGGAGCAUAUAAACAAAGGCCAGAAAGGCAGAGACUGUGAUCACUGGGGGUGCCAGUAAGUACAGCGACAUCCUGGUCUCCCUGGACUGGGAGGGAACCAGAUGGAUGGGUUUUGACCCUGGAGCCCCGGAUACAGAGCUGCCUCUCUGCCUCUUCCAUUCCUUCGUUUCUCUUGUCCUCUCUGCAAAGUUUAUGCUUCUGCAGAAAGAGCCAGAAGCCUGGAGAGCAGAAGGCAACCAUAGGUGAUUUAGAUAAAGAGCCUUUCGGGCCUGCACGCAGAGAGAAAAAGCGCAGAAAGGGAUUAACUGGGUGCGGUAUUUAUGCGAGGAGCCCUGUAGCCUUUGAGGGGAGAGGUGAGAGAUGUCGGAAGGGGUGCGUGAGGAGGAAUCAGGCAGAACUACGUUAGCGUUGCUCCUGGCAGACGGAGCAAGAAAGAAAUCCGGGAGCCAAAUUCCUGGGUUGACUUGAGAAUCGAGGUGGUCACUCCUUGUCAAGUCAGCGGCUGGAGGUCGUGGGUCCGCAGCGUCUGACGCGC